GUUACCUCUUGGAAAACUACAGACCAAACCAGUCAGAGACAGCAAUGUGAGGACAUCAACAGAAAAUAAAAUGCUGUAAGAAGGCCUUUAUGUGCACAGAGAUGGUUACUAAAACAAGCUCAUAUUAGGCACGGUUCCUUGAAUUGUGCCCAAGCGUACUUUUAUCAUUAGGAUGCAUUUGUUUGAAGAAAACAAGAAGUAAAGGGCUCUCAAUGUGAGUCAAACAACUGCUCGACUGAGGAGUUGAAGAGAAAAGGGCAGCUGCACAAUUCUAAAAUUGUGAAGGCACUCUGUCAGUUACACAACUUGGAGGCAAAUUGUAGACACAAUCACCAGGAGCAG